GCCCAAACAGGAUUUUUCCACUUCAUGCAAGCACCUACAUCUUUUUGUUUGUUUGCUUGUUUGUUUGGAGGUUUUUUGUUGCAUUGGAUGAAAAGAAGCUCUGAUCUCACCUCCUUCCCCAGGGAUGGGGGACCUCAGAACAUAAAAUGUUUUGACUCACAGUGGGAUGGGGAUGACAGGAGAGAUUCUCUUCGUGAAACUGAGCUGAGCAAGUGGACUCUUUCAUGAAUGCUGCUGCUGGAUGGAAUUUUGUUAGCUUCUCCUCAAGGAGUGGUUGUGGCAUCGCUGGACGACCCCCAAGGACAUUGUAGGUUGUAGCUUUCCAUCAUAUUUGUUUAAUGCCUGCAAGGUGGUUUUCUUCCUCCUGGCUCCACCACCCCAAUAAU